rnacentral:rRNA from 1 species
UGCAGAGGGUGCAAGCGUUGUUCGGAAUUAUUGGGCGUAAAGAGCUCGUAGGCGGCCAGUUGCGUCUGCUGUGAAAUCCCGGGGCUCAACCCCGGGCUUGCAGUGGAUACGGGCUGGCUGGAGGCAGGCAGGGGAGAACGGAAUUCCCGGUGUAGCGGUGAAAUGCGCAGAUAUCGGGAGGAACACCGGUGGCGAAGGCGGUUCUCUGGGCCUGUACUGACGCUGAGGAGCGAAAGCGUGGGGAGCGAACAGG